rnacentral:rRNA from 1 species
CCUACGGGUGGCAGCAGUGAGGAAUAUUGGUCAAUGGGCUUACGCCUGAACCAGCCAAGUCGCGUGAGGGAAGACUGCCCUAUGGGUUGUAAACCUCUUUUGUCAGGGCGCAAUUGGCGCUACGUGUAGCGUUAUCGAGAGUACCUGAAGAAAAAGCAUCGGCUAACUCCGUGCCAGCAGCCUCGGUAAUACGGAGGAUGCGAGCGUUAUCCGGAUUUAUUGGGUUUAACGGGUGCGUAGGCGGAAUGCCAAGUCAGCGGUAAAAUCGCGGGGCUCAACCUCGCUCCGCCGUUGAAACUGGCGUUCUUGAGUGGGCGAGAAGUAUGCGGAAUGCGUGGUGUAGCGGUGAAAUGCAUAGAUAUCACGCAGAACUCCGAUUGCGAAGGCAGCUUACUAAACUGCCACUGACAUUGAUGCUCGAAAGCGUGGGGAGCAAACAGGAUUAGAUACCCUUGUAGUC